GCUAACGGUGUCCGAGUGGUUAAGGAGUUGGACUUGAAAUCCAAUGGGUUCUACCCGCACAGGUUCGAGUCCUGUCCGAAGCG
rnacentral:tRNA from 1 species